rnacentral:rRNA from 1 species
CGGAGGGUGCAAGCGUUACCCGGAAUCACUGGGCGUAAAGGGCGUGUAGGCGGGAAGUUAAGUCUGGCUUUAAAGCCCACGGCUCAACCGUGGAGAUGGGCUGGGUACUGGCUUUCUAGACCUCUGGAGAGAGAACUGGAAUUCCUGGUGUAGCGGUGGAAUGCGUAGAUACCAGGAGGAACACCAAUGGCGAAGGCAGGUUCUUGGACAGAAGGUGACGCUGAGGCGCGAAAGUGUGGGGGAGCGAACCGGAUU